AACCGGAGCAGAACCACAGGGAUUGCCUCAGUAAUGGCGAAUGAAGCGGCAACAGCUCAAAUUUGAAAGCUGGCCUGCGAAGGGUCCGCGUUGUAAUUUGUAGAGGAUGCUUCGAGUGUGGCGCCGGUCUAAGUUCUUUGGAACAAGACGUCAUAGAGGGUGAGAAUCCCGUAUGUGACUGGUUGCUUGCGCCCGUGUGAAGCUCCUUCGACGAGUCGAGUUGUUUGGGAAUGCAGCUCUAAAUGGGUGGUAAAUUUCAUCUAAGGCUAAAUAUUGGCCGGAGACCGAUAGCGCACAAGUAGAGUGAUCGAAAGAUGAAAAGCACUUUGGAAAGAGAGUUAAACAGUACGUGAAAUUGUUGAAAGGGAAGCGCUUGCAAUGAGACUUGCGCGGCGUCGAUCAGCCUGGGUUCUCCCUGGUGCACUCGGCGCCGCUCAGGCCAGCAUCGGUUUCGACGGUGGGAUAAAGGCCUAGGGAACGUGGGUGGCCUCGGCCACCGUUAUAGACCUAGGUGCCAUGCCGCCUGUCGGGACUGAGGACCGCGCUUCGGCUAGGAUGCUGGCGUAAUGGUUGUAAGCGACCCGUCUUGAAACACGGACCAAGGAGUUGACCAACUGUGCGAGUGUUUGGGUGUCAAACCCAUGCGCGUAAUGAAAGUGAACGGAGGUGAGAACCCUUGAGGGUGCAUCAUCGACCGAUCCUGAUGUCUUCGGAUGGAUUUGAGUAAGAGCAUAGCUGGUCUGACCCGAAAGAUGGUGAACUAUACUUGGAUAGGGUGAAGCCAGAGGAAACUCUGGUGGAGGCUCGCAGCGGUUCUGACGUGCAAAUCGAUCGACAAAUCUGAGUAUAGGGGCGAAAGACUAAUCGAACCAUUGAAUUCCUAGCUUCUAGGUGGUUGGGAGGCCUGAGACACGGCCUAGUCUCCCCGGCGGGAGGCAAUACUGCAAAAUUGCGGGGACCGUUCGACAGAUGCAGGCUACCACAGCGGGCUCGAAAGGCCCCGCCACGGUUACAAGGCCGGCAGCUGAACCGAUCCGCAGCCAGCUCCUUUCGCCUGGAGCAGGUUCAUCGACUAGACGGCAGUAGGUGGCGCUGGGUACUAUACUGGCUUCGUCUAAGGUAUAGUCAGACCGCGGCAGGAAUGCUGCGGGUGAUCCGCAUGUCGGC
rnacentral:rRNA from 1 species